ensembl:snRNA U6 U6 spliceosomal RNA
UUGCUUCAGCAGCACAUAUACUAAAAUUGAAAUAAUGCAGAGAAGAUUAGCAUGGCCCCUGUGCAAAGCUGACAUACAAAUCCAAGUACAUAUUUCCUUUGUAU